CUUGAACUGGGUGGGUUUCAACAGUGACUUGUGUAGGCGCUUCAGGGCCUGACCAACCAAGAGGAGCUGGAAAUUGCUGGCGCACCUGUAAAAAUUAACACAGAGGUUUCACUAGUAAAUGGCAAAGCUGGCACUUAAGUCUUGUUUCUCGUCUGUCACACACUCCGCCGGUACAGAAAAUACGUUGUAGUGACGGCCAAAGUGUGUCUACUCUACGCACAAACAUGUUAGGAAGGAGAAGUCAGCCGUCAGUUAUCAAAAGUUGGAAGCGAACAGAAAGCGUCUUCCAACAUGGCUUAAAGACUCGGACUUCAUGUGUCAAUAGGGCUGCUAGCAGGGCGAUCACUGGUGGCAGGAGAGCUGGGUUUCAGGGUAACCAGCACAAUCUUUUAAAUACUGUCUAUAUGGUAAUACAGACAACAUAGACCUAAUAUUGUCAAGGUGGUAACUCUUAAGUUACUGGAAGUUCUUGUGUAUUCCUUCCUUCAGUAGCAUUUUUAAAGUAUACCUGAGGACUGUGUGUUUCACAGUCCAUUGCUUGGACAGCAGCUGUAAAAUGACCACCACUAUGCCGAUGCUGAUGUGUUGGAUCUGACCGGGCCCUUCCACUGUUGCUUGUCCCUGAAGAUCCACCUUAAAAGAACCGAAACAGAAUAAAAAAAGGCUGCUUUUAUGGAAUUGAAAUUUUAAAAUGUGACGCUUGGCUUUUUAAAAAAUGUGCUAAGUAAUAAUAUUGAAAGGUACCAACAUUUUUUUCAAGACUAUCAGCAAACAUCUACCUGAGCUUGAAGAUGUACUAGAGGUGGUUCCUGAAGACUGUGACUGCUCCAUGGCAGGACUUGUGGAGACACUGUUACUCGUAUUUGUACCUUCAUCUGCUGUUUUCUUAAAAAAACUAUGCUGCAGGGCAUAAUAUGGUUGGAUUCUAGUCUUAGGGUCAUAAUCAAGCAUCCUUAAGAUGAGGUCUUUGAACUUCAAGUAGUCCGCCACAGUAUGUCCAGAUUCCCCAGCACGGCGUCCCCCGGGGCCUCCUGUUUCUACUCCAAGAAUAUUAUGAAGUUUACGAGUUCCUGGCGGUUUAUACUCCUAUGAAAAAAGAAUAAAAUAGGUUUUCUACAAAUUUGAAAAAAAUUAAUCCAAUAUUAAACCAACUUAAUGCAAUAUUCA